GAUGAACGCUGGCGGCGUGCCUAAUACAUGCAAGUCGAGCGAACAGACGAGGAGCUUGCUCCUCUGACGUUAGCGGCGGACGGGAGCGUAACACGUGGAUAACCUAACUAUCAGACUGGGAUAACUUCGGGAAACCGGAGCUAAUACCGGAUAAUAUAUUGAACCGCAUGGUUCAAUAGUGAAAGACGGUUUUGCUGUCACUUAUAGAUGGAUCCGCGCCGCAUUCGCUAGUUGGUAAGGUAACGGCUUACCAAGGCAACGAUGGGUACCCGACCUGAGAGGGAGAUCGGCCACACUGGAACUGAGACACGGCCCAGACUCCGACGGGAGGCAGCAGUAGGGAAUCUUCCGCAAUGGGCGAAAGCCUGACGGAGCAACGCCGCGUGAGUGAUGAAGGUCUUCGGAUCGUAAAACGCUGUUAGUAGGGAAGAACAAAUGUGUAAGUAACUAUGCACGUCUUGACGGUACCUAAACAGAAAGCCACGGCUAACUACGUG
rnacentral:rRNA from 1 species